rnacentral:lncRNA from 1 species
AAAAAACCACGACCUACACCUAUAGGUUUUUAACUAUUACAACACUUUACAAUAACUCUAUUGCAAAGACUUCAACUAACUUGUGAUGCUCUCAUAACAAGCCACUCUAUAACUAUCCUAGUUACAAAGAAUUUGACUAACUUGUAGUAUUUCCUCCACAAGCCACUUUGUCACGCUACGGUUACAAAGGCUUUCACUAACUUGUAAUGUUUCUACCACAAGCCACUUUGUCACCCUACGGUUACAAAGUAUUUUUCUUUUGACUCAACCUAAUCAAUGCUUUUAAGAAAGCUGGAUAAGAGUUACAAUGAAGAACAAAUUACAAAGACUCUACAAACCUAAGAACUUAAAAUAUCUUCGAUCUUGGAUCAAGUCCUUGAGGUUGCAACAGCUUUGUUCUUGAGAGAGGUUCUUGAACACUUGAGAAAAUAUUUUACUUUUCUGAGUUUACAAGCACUGGAAGCUGAAACUGUGCCUUGCAUAAGGUUUAUACUACACAAGACAUCCUUAGUAAUUCCAAUCUCAAUGGGAAGUGACUGAUGUACUGUUUGCUGCACUGUUGCACUGUUACAGUUAUUCACUUUCUAAAAUUACUUUCCAGAUGUAGUUGACUUGUACUUCUGUCAGAGAACCCUAAGGGACCGGGUCCUUGUUCUGUUCCUCUUUAUAUAGUUGCGAUUAGUCAUUGAGUUGUGUUCCAUCUGUAUAGUUGACUUGGACAUCUGUCAGAGGACUACUAAGGGAUCAGGUUCUUGAUCUGGUUCUUGUACACACCGCCCAGAUAUUCUUGAGUUGAGUAACUAGAUAGAUGCUUUGUACACAGUCAUUGUAGGUACACCUUGAGAAUGAUCACUUGAAGUGAUGUUAGCACUUGAGUUGUUCAGAGAAUGAGGGAGCGCUAGAAAUAGUACAGUGUGGCAUAGUCUUCGUUUCCAGUUGUGUCCAAUUGACUUUGUACUACCGUGAGAAACCCACAAGAGUAUUAGGUCCUUGUCUGGGCUCCUACCUCCUGAAACAAUAGCAAGUUCACAUUUGGCUGGAAUCCAUUAGAUGCAGUGUAAUCCAAGUGAGUCAGGUUCCCUAUCUGGUUCUUGACAUUAAGUUUGUUAGAUCAUCAUGUCUGGGUUCCUACCUCCUAAUUUGCAGAAAGUUCACAUUUGGCUAGAAUCGGUUAGAUGCAAUGUAAUCCAAGUGAGUCAGGUUCCAUAUUUAGCUCUUAACAUUAAAUUUGUUAGAUCGUCAAAACACAAGGCAAAGAUAUUGAAAACCUAUCAAUCAUAUCAAUUUCCCCCUUUUUUAUGAUGACAAACUUAGCAUUGAAAACAAGGAGUUAGAGUUCAGAGAACCAGAUUGAAUAUCAGGAGACCACAGGUUCCCCCUGACUUUAUGCCCUUACUUACACAUGUUUCCCAUAUGUUCCCCCUGACACUUUACUAUCAUUCUUGGUCUUUUAUCUGGUUCCAUAUAGAAAGUUUGUUAGAUCAUCAAAACAUAGAUUAAAAGACAUUAAGCCCAUCAAUGUUUCCCUUUAUGAUGAUGACAAACAUUGAACAUUGAUGACUAUUUGACUUAACCAUAUAAGGUACCCGCAACUGCAUAUGUUCUGCCUGACUCUAUUCUUCCCCCUUUUGGCAUCAACAAAAAGACACAAUCAGACAAAAAGCCAUAAAGAAGUCCAACAAGGGUAUCUCAUACCAUAUAUGUGUACACAAUCAUGAUAGCAAAUAGAAGCAAAAGGGAAAACAAGUACGUACAAGCAAAAUAAGAGUUGUUUUAUUGAUAGGAAAUUUUACUAUUUCAACAGGAACAACAACGAUGAAAUCCAAAAUGCCAUCACAAAAAGACAAACAAAAAGAGAAACAACAGCUACAAAAUUAUCAGAGCUAAAGAUAAUUGGCCACUGAGAGGAUCCUACGAAGCACUAGAAGAGUGAGGCUGGGAAGAGGAAGCGACAAUGAUUUUGAGAGCUAGGUCCAUGCGGGUAGUUGCAGGCAAUUGUUAUUCAAGUAGUUUCUCCCGCAGAUUCUCCACUAGUUGCCUAAGUCCAAAACUUGUCUCAUACUUUCCAUCUCCUAGAUUAUCGAGCAAGUGUGCGACCUCACAAGACUUUUCCUAAGUUAACUCUUCUGCCUAAGGCCACUGUCACUUAGAAUGGUCUUCAUUGAACCAGGUCUUCCCACAGUUCCCACUUUUGUUAUUUUUUUGGAUAUUUCAAUAACCUUCCCAUUCCUGCUUGCAACAUCCACAAUUUCCCCCUCAAACAAAUCAUUCUCAGCCACAACCUUUUGAAAUCUUUUCACUAAGGAACUAGGUUCCUCCACAACAUCUUUAUCAACUCAACCACUGGAAUGUGUUUAUCAGCCACAACUUCCCCCUAUUUCAUCAACCAUUUUUUUGUUGUUACUCUGCUUACUCUUCGGCAAGGCAAACUUAAAAGCCUCUUUCUUCUACAACCACUUGGUUUGUUUUAGCUAAAAGAGAAUUAGGUUCUUCAACAGGUUCUUUUGUGAUUGUGUCAUAAACCGGAGACUCAAAAAGCACAGAGUUUCAUCCCCUAAUAAUGGAGUUUCUUCCCUCUGAGAUUCAGGAACAAAGGAGAAGUAGGGUUUGCAACAUAUGAAAGUGAGACUAGAAGUGGAGAUGAGGAGGAAACCGUAUGGGAACAGUAGUAUUAGGAAUAGUGAAGAAGUGGGUUUCCGGUGAUGGUGUUAAGGGAGGAGGAGAUGUGGGAGUGAUGUUGAUGGCAAGAGAAAAAUAUGAUUAUUUAUUAGCCAUGGUGAGAGAAGUGGUAGAGAGUUUUGAAGGAAAAAUUAAAGUGAUGCAGAGGGAGACAAUGGUUUAGAACUGCUGUCUGAAAAGUCGGAUGAUGUGGCAGUUGAAUUGAUUUUUCUAUCCUUUUUCUUUGAACAAGCAUGCGAAAAACACAUUACUACUAACCUGCGGUGCAAGAACCAGGUUCCUGACCUAUUUUUGUAAAAAGGUUUUUGCAGCUCUCCUCCAAAGCUCAACACUGUACCUUUAGCUUCUAUGAUCAUCAUGUGUGUUGACCUGUAACGGUAUAGAUGUGAGUUAGGCCUAGUUAGAAAACACUUUAGCCAAUUUUACCGUAGUGUGACUAUCACAGUCAUGUCAGUAGAAACAGCUUCUUGAUAAGGUUCAGCCAUCUUGUUUCUCAAAGUGUUCCCUGCUCAGAGCUUUGUAAAGAUAUCUGCAAUCUGAUCUUCUAUGCAACAAAAACUUUUACAAAUAAGACCCUUUUCCACAUAGUCGCUUGAUCCACAGUGAAUGAGCACAUCACUUGGCAGCUGCAACAUAUGCUGCUUCAGCUAUUGAGAAAGCUACUGAGUUUUAUUUCAUUAUACCCCAUGAGAUAAAACAUGAUCUAAGAAAAUUAGCCAUUCCAGAUGCGCUUUUCCUGUCCACCACAUAACCUGUAUAAUCGGUGUUAGCAUAACCAAUAAGGUUGAAAACUGUCCCCUGAAGGACAGUACGGAACCAGGUUCUGUGUGCCCAAAUAUCUUAGAAUUCUCUUAGCAGCCUUCAGAUAUGAUUCCUCAGGAUUUUAUUGGAACCUUGCAUGUAAUCCUACACUGAAUACAAUGUCUGGCCUGCUGUUAGUAAGGUAGAGUGAAGAUCGAAUGAUUCCCAUGCUUCCAUAUCAAACCAUUUCAAGAGUUCUUUGAUGCAUUUCUGACUGAUACACGUUCCAUUUAUGUAUUGAUUCUCUUGAAGACCCAGGAAUACAUUCAGUUUGCCCAUCUACUCAUUUCAAAUUCACUUCCCAUGAGUUUAGCGAAUUCUCCACAUAAUGAGUUAGUUGUAGAUCCAAAUAUAAUGACAUCCACAUAAAUUUGAUCAAUGAGCAGGUUCCUUCCCCGUUUCUUCAUAGACAAUGUAUUGUCAAUCUUUGCUCUUGUGCAGCCAUUUUCCACGAGGAACUGGAUAGUCUCUCGUACCAUUCUCUAGGGACCUGCUUCAAUCUGUGCAGUGCCUUAUCAAAUUUGAAUACAUGUUCGGGAUGUACAUGACAUUCAAAACCUGGAGGUAGCUUGAUAUAGACUUCUUUCUUGAGAAAACCAUUCAGGAAGGCACUCUUCACAUCCAUUUGGAAUAAGGUGAAUCCCAUAUGUGAAGAAAAGGCAAUGUGGGUCCUAAUAGCUUCCAUGUGAGCUACUGAAGCAAAAGUAUCAUCAUAAUCGAUCCCUUCCUCCUGAUUGUAUCCUUGGACAGCGAGCCUUGCUUUGUUCCUUGUAGUAUUUCCAUGUUCAUCCAGCUCAUUCCUUAAUACCCACCUGGUCCCUAUGAUUGUUCUGCCUGAGGGUCUAGGUACAAGUUCCAUACCUUGUUUCUUUUUUUCAACAACACCAUUUUGCUAUGGAGUCCUUGGUGCUGAGAGGUUAUGAGUGAUCCAAAUUUCAUUACAAACUCAUCAAUUUUUGCGUUAUCAAAUUCUGUCCCAUGGUCAUAUAUGAUGCAUGCUACCUUCAAUUCCAUCUUCAGUUGGAUCUUCUUGACAAAUCCCUUAAAAGUCUCAUCCUUUGUUUUAAGAACCAGUGUCUACGUGAAUCUUGAGUUUUGUCCGGCCACGAACCAGGUUCUUCUGAAUCAGUUAUUCAGACACGAGAAGCUUGCAUGCCUCAAUUUUCUAUGACAACGUUCUACAUCAUCAUCAACUGACUUCAAGCAUCUCAUAGCACCAGCUUUUAGAGAUUCAAAAGUUAGCAAUGCAUAUGUUAUUGUGUCUUUUAGCUACUAAGACCACUUCGCUAGUUACCAGAUUGGAAACUGUGCACACUUUUGAUAAGAACUCUACAUUGAUCCCUUUAUCAUAGAUCUGAGAGACACUUAGCAGACUGUACUUUAGGCCACCCACAUAGUACAUGUUCAAUUAAGUGUCAAAGAGGCUUUCCAAUUCUUUUUAAUGCCGAGAAUGUAACCUUCCUUUUUUAAGGAUACAUUCCCUUCCUACAGGGCUUUUAGUAAGAGAGAGUCCAUGGUGCUUCUAGUCAUGUGCUUUGAGCAUACACCGUUCAUGGUCCAUUGUGUUUCACUUCCUCAUACUGUUCCCUGCACAUCUAAAUUACGGGUUAGAUUUAGGAACCCAAACUAGUUUAGGUCCCUUGUUACAAAAAAAGUAUGAAUGAAGGGUUUCCUAGUUCAUGCAAUCAGCAUCCACUUUUUGCGAGUGGUACCUGGUCCUUUGCUAGUAAUCACUCUAUUAGUGAACGCUUUGUUCUUUAGAGCAGACUGACCCCGGAACUGACAAUUUUCUUUAAAGUGCCCAUUGUUCCCACAAUGGGUACAUAGCCAAUUAUCAGGAACUGCGACGUACUUGCUCUGAGAGUUGUAAGGAGUUUUCUGCUUUUGGAACUCGAUUCCCUGCCUAUUUCUACUAUUAUUGAAGUACAUGGCAGUGAUAGCAUCUGAGGACCAUGUCCACUUGAGAGAUUUCUCAAGAUCACUUUUUACUCUCUUCAAUUCAGCUUGAAGCUGCCUAUUUUCUUGAGUUCACCACAUAUCCAAGUUCUAGUAGCUUUCAACUUAUUUUCAAGUCUAAUGUGUUCUUCACUUGCUUUCUCCUUUCUUUUUCCAGAAUUUGAGGUUUUGACUUAAUCUCAGGUUUCACUAUUGAUUUCCUUAGGUCUGUAAUUUCUGCCAAAAGAUCAUUCUUUUCUUUUCUGAAAGUUUCAAUGGUUCUCUUAUGGUCAGUAACUACAUCUACUAAGUCGUCUCUAGUUUGUUCAGAUUAAGGUCAAAAGUUCCCUAUCCUUCACAAAACUAUGAAAGGCAUUGAUUGAUACGUUAGCUAAAGACAUGAGUUUUCUUGAAGAAUAGGAUUUCAGAUUUCUCUCAACAACCCUGAAUUUACCUCUUUGUUGUCUUCUUGUUCAUCAUCAUCUGGUCGUGCCAUCAAUGCAAAGGUUGAGUCAUAUUCACCUGGUCUUUUUCUCUUGAAGUUCUUAGAGAAUUCUUGCUUCAAGAGAGGACAAUUUUUCAUGAAGCGUCCAGCCUUUCCGCACUUGUAACAAAGAUCAUUGUUCUUUGAUCUGUUAGAGUUGUCCCCUUCACUUCUCCAUCACUUCUGACCAUCUUCUGAAACAUUUUGGUUAAGUAAGCCACGUAACUAUAUUCCUCACUUGAAUCAUUAUUAGCAGCUUUAAGUACCCGGCACUUUUCCUUCUUUGGUUUUCUUCCUUCAAGAGUAUGUGGAGCAGCAAUAAGGAUCCUUCCUAGGUGUUAGUCUAAUAGGAAGAACUUGCUCUUAUACCACUUAUUAGAGACUGUGCGUCCACCAGACUGUAUAGAGAACCGAGUUCUCUAUAUGUUUCUUCUGAAAGUACUGAUGAACCAAACUGUAUAGGGUACUGAUGAACCAAACUGUAUAGGGAUAUGGUCCUAUAUCAGUUUGAUACAGUGCUAAGUUUGUGUGAGUCCACCAAAUAGCAGAGUACCUGGUCCUUUAUCGGGUUCUCUUGUGAAUGCUAGUAAAGCUGAAUGUAAAUAAGCCAUGGAUUUUUACGUGAAAAAAUCUCACACAAGAGGAUAAAAAAACCACGGCCUACACCUAUUGUCACACCUCCUUUUUCGCUAUACACUCCCGCAAAGGGGCGCAAAGGAGUUUUUUCAAUUAAAGGACAAUCGGAACGGGAUUUAUUAUUAAUAUUCAGAGUCGCCACUUGGGGGAUUAGUGAUGUUCCAAGUCACCUGUUGAAUCCCGAACCGAGGAAAAAGAUGACUCUGUUCACAGUCUGCGAACCAGAAAUCUGGAUAAGGAAUUCUGUUAACCCGGGAGAAGGUGUUGGGCAUUCCCGGGUUCUGUGGUUCUAGCACGGUCGCUCAACUAUUGCAUAUACCGUUUAUCUGAUUUUAUUACAUGAAGAGCUUAUGUGCCAAUUUUAUCUUAAUUGCUUUUAUUUAAUUUAAUAUUUAUUUAAAAAAGUGAACGUCGUUUAAAGUGUGUUUUCGGAUUGCGCCGCAUCAAAUGAACCCACAAUCCUAGGCACACUCUAUUCAACGUUUUAGGAUUUGGAUUUGGGCCGUAUAAAAUGCCCACCCGUAUUUAAGAAUGUAAUUUAUUAAAGUCGCGUCUAAUAGAGUCUAACGCGUUGUUAACUUUGCGAGGGCCAUAGAAAUUUGCUAAAUGGCACGCCUCGGAUUUCUAAGUAUUAAAGUCAAUUAAGUGAGAGCCAUGAGUUUUGAGAUUUUAUUUAACACGGUACUCCUCGAAUUAUUCCUAAAGGGUUGUACUUAACUAAAGCAAGCUUGGACGUAAAUUUUUUCUACACUAGUCAUGAAUGUUCCAAUAGUAUUGUGGUUAAUAUGAUGUAACCAUAUCUUCUUGGUAUUUAGGAAUGUAAUUUAUUAAAGUCGUAUUUAAUAGAGUCUAACGCGUUGUAAUAUUUUGAGAGGGCCAUGAAAUUCGCUAAACGGCCCUUUCCGAUUAUCUAAAUAUCUUUUAAAAAUUUAUUGAGGGCCCUACAAUUUUGUAUUUUAUUGGGCGAGACUCGCCUCAUUUAUUUUAAAGGGAAAACCUAAAGCAACUAUGAUUUCUACUUUGCAAGGGCCAUGGAAAAUUCUCUAAUGGCACACCUCGAUUUCUAAAGAUUAAAAUCAAUUAAAUGAGGGCCAUGCGUUUUGAGAUUUUAUUUGGCAUGCUGCACCUCAAUUUAUUCUGAAUGAAAGUAUUCAACUAAAGCCCAUUAGGGAUGGUCCUAAUUAUCUUCCUAAGUUUGAUAUUAUUGCCAAGAGUUAUGGAGAUUAAAGGUGACAUAUGGGUAAGCCUCAAACUGAUUUAAUCACAAUUAAACAUCUUCCAAAAUCUAACAAAUCACAGUCACGUCACAAUGAAUAAACUAAAGCAAAUGCUAGCUAACACUCAAAAUAACUUCACUUAAUAUUACUAAAGAGAAAAAAAAAAAUACAAAGAUACUACAUGAAACGCUUUUGAUCAAACAAACUUUCCAUGAAACAGUUGGCAAUUAACUCCAUGUGUAUCCAAACUCUUCCACUUAAUCAGGUAAUUAAAAUCGGAUGUCAACUAAUAUGAAAUGGCGAAGUAGCUUCAACUGGGCUUCAACCAUGUAACAUAAUAUUAACAAAACGUUAAGGUCAAAUAAUUAACCCAGAUCAAUGAAAAUCAUGCAAUUAUCAGCAUUAUAUUCUACUCAUCACAGCUUGAAUAUAUUAAAUAGAUAUCAACAUUUAGAGCCGAAAACAGAACAAUGAACGGACCUUGAAUGGCGACAGAUGAGAACCUCGAACAGAAAAAUGCAGUGCUUCGUCGGGGUCUCGAUGAAACUCAACCAAACCUCUUAGAACUCGGCUGAAUUGUUCUCCAAUUAACAGAACUUCAGCGACUAUGACGAACUGAAAUUGAACCUUUCAUUGGAUGAAAUUUCCAGUAUUACACGGACAGAAAUCGAGCAAACACUAUAACCAAAACUCGAGACAACAAACAAAUUCAACGGAAUCACGAACAGCAGUGCGGUUGUCACCUCAAACUCGAUCGCAAUUACCACGCACCACAAACGCAAGCACAAAGAGAAGUUUCGAUUCAAAAUUCCAAACGAUUUUACUCGCAAAGUUUGAACCAGCAAAUUUGGUUCGCAAAAAUUCAAACGCCGCGUUAGAUGAACAGAUCUUCAGAUGCAAACUUUAGAAAGCAAAAGUUGUCUUAUAAUGAGAAAUUUCAUUUCGGAAUUUCAAUUAGUACAACAACUUUGUCAAGCGAUAUUCAAGUCUAAAAUCUGAACGAGAGGACGACAGUAAAUUGGACUCAGAACUACGAACCUCGUCGUCGAACAAACACUGGUAAACCACGAUGCAACAAUGGAGCUUUAAACAAAAUCCAUGAAUGAAUCGAAGGUAGAAACUCGGAAUUGAGGGGGAAUGGAGGAUUUCGCUGAUGGUUUCUGUAGUUGGGAUUGAGUGAAGAAGCAGGGGUCGUCGUUUUUUUUUGUUGUUGUUGUUGUUUUUCUCCCUAUUUCUCCAUCUUCUUUUUUGCUCCCUCCUCUUUUUCU